rnacentral:rRNA from 1 species
UGGCUCAGGACGAACGCUGGCGGCGUGCUUAACACAUGCAAGUCGAACGGUGAUGUCAGAGCUUGCUCUGGCGGAUCAGUGGCGAACGGGUGAGUAACACGUGAGUAACCUGCCCCCGACUCUGGGAUAACUGCUAGAAAUGGUAGCUAAUACCGGAUAUGACGACUGGCCGCAUGGUCUGGUCGUGGAAAGAAUUUCGGUUGGGGAUGGACUCGCGGCCUAUCAGGUUGUUGGUGAGGUAAUGGCUCACCAAGCCUACGACGGGUAGCCGGCCUGAGAGGGUGACCGGCCACACUGGGACUGAGACACGGCCCAGACUCCUACGGGAGGCAGCAGUGGGGAAUAUUGCACAAUGGGCGCAAGCCUGAUGCAGCAACGCCGCGUGAGGGAUGACGGCCUUCGGGUUGUAAACCUCUUUUAGUAGGGAAGAAGCGAAAG